GGAGCAGUAGCUCAGUGGUAGAGCUCCCGCUUCGUAUGCGGGGAAAUAUGGGUUCGAUUCCCGGCUGCUUCC
rfam:Toxocara canis C1638861, whole genome shotgun sequence.